CCUACGGGCGGCUGCAGUGAGGAAUAUUGGUCAAUGGGCGCUAGCCUGAACCAGCCAAGUAGCGUGAAGGAUGACUGCCCUAUGGGUUGUAAACUUCUUUUAUAUGGGAAUAAAGUGCAGUAUGUAUACUGCUUUGCAUGUACCUUAUGAAUAAGGAUCGGCUAACUCCGUGCCAGCAGCCGCGGUAAUACGGAGGAUCCGAGCGUUAUCCGGAUUUAUUGGGUUUAAAGGGAGCGUAGGCGGGUUGUUAAGUCAGUUGUGAAAGUUUGCGGCUCAACCGUAAAAUUGCAGUUGAUACUGGCAGCCUUGAGUACAGUAGAGGUAGGCGGAAUUCGUGGUGUAGCGGUGAAAUGCUUAGAUAUCACGAAGAACUCCGAUUGCGAAGGCAGCCUGCUGGACUGUAACUGACGCUGAUGCUCGAAAGUGUGGGUAUCAAACAGGAUUAGAUACCCCGGUAGUC
rnacentral:rRNA from 1 species